GGUGGUUUGUUAAGUUGGAUGUGAAAGCCCCGGGCUCAACCUGGGAACUGCAUCCAAAACUGGCAAGCUAGAGUACGGUAGAGGGUGGUGGAAUUUCCUGUGUAGCGGUGAAAUGCGUAGAUAUAGGAAGGAACACCAGUGGCGAAGGCG
rnacentral:rRNA from 1 species